GGCUCAGGAUGAACGCUAGCGGCAGGCUUAAUACAUGCAAGUCGUGGGGCAGCAUGAGUAGCAAUACUUGAUGGCGACCGGCAAACGGGUGAGGAACACGUACACAACCUUCCUUCAAGCGGGGAAUAGCCCAGAGAAAUUUGGAUUAAUACCCCAUAAUAUAUUUGAUAAGGCAUCUUAUUAAUAUUAAAGCUUCGGCACUUGAUGAUGGGUGUGCGGCUGAUUAGAUAGUUGGCGGGUAACGGCCCACCAAGUCUACGAUCAGUAGCUGAUGUGAGAGCAUGAUCAGCCACACGGGCACUGAGACACGGGCCCGACUCCUACGGGAGGCAGCAGUAAGGAAUAUUGGACAAUGGACGAAAGUCUGAUCCAGCCAUGCCCGCGUGAAGGAUUAAGGUCCUCUGGAUUGUAACUUCUUUUAUAUGGGACGAAAAAAGGGCAUUCUUGUUCACUUGACGGUACCAUAUGAAUAAGCACCGGCUAACUCCGUG
rnacentral:rRNA from 1 species